rnacentral:lncRNA from 13 species
GUGUCUGGCUCCCAGUGAAGAUGCCCUUGGCUGCUACAGCUUUGUGGAAACUUUACCCUAAAUAACUGCAACCACACAGAAUGUGUUGUGCUUUUUUGCAGAGACAGAGUCUCGCUCUGUCACCCAGGCUGGAACACAGUGGCACAAUCUCAGCUCACUGCAGCCUCGACCUCCCAGGCUCAAGUGAUAACUUUCUACCUCAACCUCCCAAGUAGCUAGGACCACAGGUGCUAGGACUACAGGCAGGUGCCACCACAUCUGGCUAGUUUUUAAUUAAAAAAAAAAUUAUAUAAAUGGGUCUCACUGUGUUUCCCAGGCUGGUCUCCAACUCCUAAGCUCAAACAGUUCUCCCACCUCAGCCUCUCAAAGGGCUGGGACACAGCACUUUGGGAGGCUGAGGCGGGCAGAUCACAAGGUCAAGAGAUCGAGACCAUCCUGGCCAAAAUGGUGAAACCCGUCUCUACUAAAAAUACAAAAAUUAGCUGGGCGUGGUGGUGCGUGCCUGUAGUCCCAGCUACUCGGGAGGCUGAGGCAGGAGAAUUGCUUGAACCUGGGAGGCGGAGGUUGCAGUGAGAGGAGAUUGCACCACUGCACUCCAGCCUGGUGCCUGGCAAUGGAAUGAGACUGUCUCAAAAAAAAAAAAAAGUGCUGGGAUUACAGGUGUGAGCCACCAUGCCCAGCCAGAAUGUAUUAUCUCACCCAAGAAGAGGGCUUCAGGCAGGGCGCGCCAGGUUUGGAUAAUUCAGAGCUCAACAGCUUCCAGGUUCUUCCUACUCUGCCAUCCUCAGAAUAUAAGCUGCCUUCUCAGGUGGAUCUCCUCAUGGUGAAAGAAUGGCUGCCACAGACUCAGACCUCAAGCCCACAGCGAGACACGACAACAUCUGGUAAUUAA